ensembl:lncRNA
GCCUUGCAUUUAAUAACCCUCUAGGGCUAAGACAGCUUUGUGUGUAAGUCCACUCGGUGCCAUAUGGCAGUUUUCAAUUCCUUUAGCAACUCAAUUCUAGCUAGACUGCCCGCAAUGAUUCAUUCUUAAAGGAAGACCCCUUGGGGCUCAGUAAUGCCCCCUCCACUUACCUAGCUCCCACCGACCCCGCUCGGCAGGCGGCUCGGGCUCCACAAAGAGCUGUGGGAUUCCCCGCUCCCUCCGGGGCUCCUCUCCCCGCGACGGUCCCCUUCGCCAAUGAUCUGUCGCUGGAAAUCCCCCUCCCCUCCACGGAGAGGAGGGUCUCCCCGGCUGGCUGGAGCUCUUGCCUUUUUUUUUUUUUUCCACCCUCUCUUUACAUGCCUGACUCUGGUUCACGAUCUCUAGUAGGAAGGCUCAACGGAGAGGCGGCGGGAGGAAGGAAGCUAAGGCAUCCUUAAAAAGAACAAUAAUCUUCAGAGAUCUUCACCCCCUUCCCCAUCGCGGGUCCCCAUUCCCCUGCCGCCGCCGGCGGCGCCCAGACCAGAGAGGGCUGGGAUAGAAAAGGAAAAAAAAUCGAGCCGGGCUCAGCUCGCCGCGCGGAAGGAGCCGGGAAGGCGAGCGGCUCCAGCCGGGGGAGUUGUCGCUCGCUCGGGCUGCCCGCGGCGCGGCGGCCGGCGGGGGCGCAGGGCGGUGGGUGCUUGGUGGGUGUGUGUCUGUGGCGGAGCCGGGGAGAGGCUGGGCGCGGGAGGCGAGGCGGGGCGCUCGGGGGCGCCGGCUCGGGCGCGCACACCCGCCCGCGGCCACCCCGCCUCGCGCUCCGCCUCCUCCCGCGCUCCGCGCGCCCGCGGACUGGAGCGGCGGCCGCCGCCGCCGCCGCCUUCUCCUCCUCUUCCUGGGCGCCCGCAGCUCUCGAGAGAACUGUGCCAAGUUCCUCCUUGGAGAGGCAGCCAGAUGGACACCCAGAACUUUCCGUAUCUUCGUGUCGAGAAUGAACCACCCCUUGUGUAAUUAUAUAUGACUAUAAAAGCGGGUGCAACCUACGGACUCUGUGAGAAAAGGAACAGCUCUUUACCUGGGUAACAUCAGGUACAAGACGCCAAUUUCCAUGAAUAAAGGUAAGCAUGAUUUUUAUUCA